GGCAGCCAAACACAUAAUACAGGAGAAGAGGGGAGUAGGCAGGCAGCUAGGUUAGUUUUAGUUACUAAUUCUGUUUAGAGUUAGGUCUAACUCCAGAAAUUGUAACAGUUGUGAGGAAUUCCAUAUAUGGUUUUUCUUUUCGUUCAUCUUCUUCUUCAUUUUCUUCAUCACCCUGUUCGUUUCUCUCUGAUCGGAUACUCGCAGACACAGGCGCCAGAGGCAUAAUCGGAAGCAUUCAGGAGGAGAGCUGUCAAGAAAUUAGAUAUUUCUGUUGACUCUGAGGGAGUAGGUUGAGUGUUGAACACAAAUUGAAAUGACCCCAAAUUCUAACCCUAAACCCAAGCUUUCAACAACCACCCCAUACAUCCCACCGGAGCUUGUGUUCGACGUUCUUUUACGGCUUACGCCCAAGGAUUUGAUGUGAUUCAUUUGUGUUUGCGAAGCUUGGAAUGCCAUCACCAACGCUCCAUCCAAACCAGCUCUUUUUGCUCCCUUUUAAUUCAUUCAAACAAUCGGCGCACAAAUUUCGUCUCAUUCCCAUUUUACGACAACGAUAGCAUCGCCAAGAUAGCCAUCAAACUUGAGCUGCCCUUGAGACACCGUCGCAGUUGUACUGACAGAGCGGGUUACUGUCAUGGUUUACUAUGCAUUGCAAACAACAAUAAAAAAGAUGUUGCUUUAUGGAAUCCCUUCAUUCAGAGGUUCAAGAGAAUCUCAUUCUCACUCUCUGAGAUAAUGGAAAGUGAAGUUGCCAGGCUUGGGUUCGGGUUUAUGGCCUAAAAUCCAACUCAUGGAAAAGGGUCCAGAACUUACCUUCCAAUCAUCGAUAUUUUGGUUCUUAUAUUCACUGUUUGAACAGUGCUCUGCAUUGGCUUACCAGUCCUGAUUUGGGUAACACAUUCAUAAUUCUAACCCUUGAUCUUGUGAGUGAGAAAUAUCACGAAUUUCCCACCCCGGAGGACGUUAUGCAUGCUUUUCCUCUGCCGGGUUUGACUGUCUUGGGAGGCUGCUUAUGUUUUAUUGUUAAUAAUAAGGCUGAAAGUCAUGUUUGGGCUAUGAAGGAAUAUUGAGUGACAAAAUCUUGGGUGAUGCUUAUUUUUAAAAAAAAAAUUAACGAGAGCGAUGUUCCUUGGAUAUUUGCUGUUUGCACACCUUUGAGGUUUUCAAAGAGUGGUCAAAUGGUUGUUUUGAAGAAUAACUAUUUUGAACCUCCUGACAGCUUUGACAAGAUUUCUUGGUAUGAUAUGGAGAAAAAGAGAAGUGGACCAGUUAAAAAAGUCAUGGUGUUCGGUGUGACUUUACUGCAAUUAUUUUUUAGGGGAAUCUCCAACUUCUUGAUGGCAGUGCUGUAAUUGUUCAGAGGCAGCACCAAGAUCCUUCUACCUCUAAGAAGAGGAAAUUUGC